AUGUCAAGAGCAAACCGCCCGAAAGGGCGGGACGCAAAGCCAGGGGGCUACCGCGGAACUCCGCCACGCCAGCCCGGCCGCCG
rnacentral:ncRNA from 1 species